GGCAACGCCCCGGGCGGGAAAAUGGCGCCGGGCCCCUGAGGGGAGGUCCCCGGGGGGAUCUGUCUGUGAGGAAACGAGGCGGGGACGGCGGCUGCCCCUCAGCUCCGGGCCUCUCUUCCGAGCUGGGCUUCCCCCUUGGUUCCGGGGGGGGGGGGGGGGGGUGUGGAUGGGAAAUACACACCUGUAGGUGGAUGUGGGUGUUCGUACCUGAAGCUGAGGUGGCUGGAGAUGCCAAGUGGGAAUGGGCUCUGAAGCCCUUCAGAGGGCUUGGACGGGCAGCCAAGAACCACAAAUGGGAGAAACGACAGAACCAGGCAGCUUGAAAGUGGGAAAAACCAAAGCAAAGUGCUGAAUGCACACUGAGGAAGGAGGGAGUCUAUAUAAAGUCUAAAAACAUGAAUAGGGCAAGAGUUGUGUGCAGGAGGAAAAUGGAUGUGAAAUGGCCAAAUAAAGGAAAUGAAAGAAAAAGUGAUGAAGAAACAAAUACAAAAUGAGGAGACAAACUGAUCUUACAAUACCAUGAAUCUAAAUAAUCUAUUACAAUUAAUCACUUAUAAUGAAUCGCUGCCUGACCAAAAGACCUUUAAAUUUGAAAAAUGUAAAAAUUAAAAUCAAGGAUGUGAGGUGCAUGUUUUAAUUCCUAGAAUCAUUAGCAAGCACUACUGAGACCAUUUGCAGUUGCUAGAAACAGUCCUGUGUUUAUUUUAUAGGACGGCAUUAAGACAGUUGCCAACACUCUUAGCAGAAAAUGGGAUUUGGGGACAUCCCAAAGUGCAUUUAUUCAGAUCUUUUCAUGAAAUUCUACAUUAAAAGUUUUAGGACCAAAAGAGUCCCAGCACUGCUGUUACUUAUCCUUGUUGAAAACAAGCAAUCUGUUUAAAAAGAGCAGAACUAUUUGUAUGAGAAAAUAUACUUUAAGUGGAAUGCUCUUUAUCAUCUUCUCCGAAAAAUGACAGAUCCUUUUUUUUUUUUUCUUUGCUUUUUCCAUUGCAGUCUUAAUUUGGGGCUUUUUAUAGCUUACACACUUUCCUGAAGUCUUAAGCCAAUCACUUAAGUCAACAGAGGUGGUUAAUGCUUAACUAAUAAAAUUGUGUGUGAGCUUCAAGACGUACAGAAGGCAGAUUCACAAGGUCGUGAACUGAGGUAAACUCCUAGUAUUCUAUGUUCUUGUUAUUACUAUAGGUUUCUUUGCAUCUUGAUAUUUAAAGUAAAAAGCAAAAAAAGCAACCCACAAACCAGCCACAAAGUUACCCUUCAAAGUGUCACAGCUCUGUUGGUCAGAACAUGCAGUCCUGUGGAAAACAUUCACUGAUCUCUGAGACCAAACAUCCUGGAUACAACUCCGUGAAUCACACAGCUCGCAUCCUCAUAGUUAAAGACUGCACAUCCUGGUUAGGAGAUGGUAAUAUUUGCUAUUAAAGAUCAAUAUAAUUCAAAUUGUUCUUUAACAGAAUACUUCAAUUUUUUAUGCCUCGCUCAGAUAUAUUACCCAGUUCUAAUCUGGCAUUUCUCUGAGAUUUGACUAAGAUAUUUUCUCAGGGAAAAUUAGAGGUCUGAGUUAUUCACUAACAUGAAAUGGUGUGGGGGGUGUCUUUUUUUUUAAAUAUACGCAUGCAGAACAAAUGGAUCAUUCAAGGCUUACAAACUGUGAAUGUAAAUAUCAGUGCCAGAUUCAUGUAGUCACAUAAAAUUAUUAAACUCUUCGGUGAUAUUUGAGUGUAACACCUACAUAGUUCAUCAGCAUCAGAAGAGCUGCACAGAUGUAAAUGAGAGUAGAAGCUGACCUUUUGAAUUCACAUACUGAGUCACAAUUUCAUCUCAAAAGCUGAUGUAAUCGUAAUGCACUUCGCCUUUACAUCCAUUUUAUCUCCCGACAAUUCUCAUUACUAAAAAUAAACUUGUUCUGGAAAGUUGGAGCAGACAUGUGACAGUGGCCACUUUGGAUAAGCCCCAGCACUCAGACACUCCUCCCCUAUUAAUGGUUCCAUCGUAGUUCUGCUUAAUGCUCCCCAGCACCAGCAUCUGCUUUCUCCUAGAUUACCUGGAGUCAAGACAAUAAAUAAAUGCAACAGAAGAAAGCUCCCAGUUCAUUGCCUUCAGUGAUUUGAAUCCGUUUUGCUCUCCACAUUGUUUAAAUUGUAUUAAAAGAGAGGACCAGGUUCCGUUUGGUUAGCUGGAAAUUCUCAGGCAUCAGACUGAUUUUAAAUGCAGUUUGGCACUGCGGAAAUGUCAGGGUCACUCAGUGCUACACAGGCAGAACAAGAGGCUGUCUUUAAAAUUUUUGGUGCCAGCUGGAAGAUGCAGUGAUUGGUCUACAAAAAGUUAGUAGGACAAUGUUAUUACGACAAAAUUUUAUUCUAUGGUUGUGCUAUUUAAAUCUGCCAAAGGAGAGGAAGCUGUAGGAAUAAAAACAAUGCCUGAUUGCCAUUUCCUCAGUCAAUGGAGACUAAUUUUAAUGUAACACCUUUUCUUUUCUUAUGCAACACUGCAGAGCUCAACGAUUUACAUGACGACUGAUCUAGUCCUGCGGGAACCUUCAAAAUUGUCUUGUCAUAAAAAUACUAUUUUCCAGUGAAAAGGUAGAGGGUAUUGCUUUCGAAGGGCUAGCUAUGUCAGAACUAAUUAUUUCAUUAUCAAAUUGCUGCUGACGUUAAUAUUUAGAAAAGAGCCUUGGAUAAUGUCCUUAAUGUAGCUAGCAAUGUAAAACAACAGACUUUUAAACUUACAUGUUCGUAAUUCUGUGAACUAAAUAGAGAUAGAGAGGAGGUGGUGUACGGGUGCCUACCACUGCAUAUAUUAAGCCAUAGUUUUUGCAUAUGUGGUAGUGCUUGCUCACUUCUAAGAAUGUUAGCAUUUGUUGUGUACAAUUAUUUACAGCAGGCAAAGCUGAAAGAAUUUCCUGUUAGAAGUGAAGGUGUCUGACGCUUCCCAUUACAAACUCUUGCCACACUUUCCACAUCACAGCACAAGGCUACGGGCUAUUUGAGGGAAUUUCUGUGUAUGUUUGUUAAAUUUCAGUGCCUCAAACUGUUUAAUUUACCACAUCUUUCUUAAAUUCAUAGGAAGAGCAAGGCCAGCCUAGUAAUAAAGACACCUUCAGAAGUGAAAGAUGUGGUACGUGUCCCCACAGCCUCACUGUUUGGAAAUGAGCAAAAGCGUAAAAAAAGCAGCAGCGCAACCCCUAUGGUACAUUCAGAACAACAUGAGCAGAAUGUUUAGAUCAAGAAAAUUACAGUGAGAAAUACUUCUUCUGUGGAUCCUGGUAUUCCUGGUGAGUUUACAUGGUGACAGUGCUCAAGAGAGACAGGGCUGAGGUGCCUCUGUGUGCCAGAGCUUGAGGUCACUGGGGGAAAUCACAGGUGAAAAUUUGAGCGCCUCCAGGAUUAACUGGUAAACUGAUGUUUUGAUGAUUUAGUUACCAUUUAAUUCCCAUUCCCUGUAAAAGGCUUUCUUUAACUCUACUCCACAAGGAUAUUCUGUGAUUUUUUUUACAGUGGGCAUUCAUUUAUAUGAAGUCUCCCUCUACUCCUUCUUUUGCAAAAAAAAAGAGAAAAAAAAAUGAUGAACUGAAAUUUCUGAAGUAUUCUCAUUACAUUAAUCAGUUUAUGUGGUUGUCCAUCUGCAUCUCGUGCUGCUUUGACCUCGCUAGUCCAAAGCUCACCAUGUUAUAUUUUUGCUUUCUUAUCACAGGAUUUUCUCACUUUUUAUGCCAGUCUUCGGUUUACUAACUUUGGGGAAUCUACAUUUUUAACUCACUCACAUGAGCUACACAGCUUACAAUCACCAGUGAAGAAAGGAGUUGGUUGUUGUGUUUUUGUUUUGUUUUGUUUUGUUUUUCCACGAAAUAUUACCAAGGUUGUGGGCUGCAACAAGAGGCUUGAAAAGGCCAAAAAACAGGAGUAUUACACAAGUUUAUGACAAGAAGAAGUUAGGCAACUAAAGUUACCAGAAGAGGGGAAGCUGAACACUGCUAAAUCAUCCCUAUUGUGUAAAAUACAGCAGAAACUAACUUACCCCAGUCUUGUUGCCAGUAUAUACCACAGACGUGUCCAAAACUGACUGAAAAGCCUUCCUAUACGAAAUCAGGUUUAAGCCACUUUAGCUUAUUAGUUCUGAUAGUUUCACAAUAGCUUAAAAACACAAAGACUUUACACAUUAAUGUAACAAAUUUCUCACUGUCCAGUGGUUUAAAAGUGAAGUUAACAUUAGCAAAAAAAAAAAAAAGAAUCAAGUGUUUUCAUUGUGACAGAUAAAUUACUAAAAGCAUUUUAAAGGAUGCAGCCUUAAAGCCUGUUUCAACAACUAUUUGGGUCAGUUCUUUUUCUCCCCUAAAUUAAUAUGAGCAGAUGAAAACCAAGCAUGAGUUCACGUUUUCUUGAAAUGCUCAUUUUUGUGAGGGAAGCAUGGAAAAGCGGCCUAAUGAAUCCUUCCUGUAGUAUGAGUUAAAGUACAUGUAAGACAGUUAUAAGAUCCUGUGCUAGUGAAUUCAGAUGUAAUUCUUUAUGUUACUACUAUUUGACUUUUCAAAAAUUGUGAUCAUCCUGUGAAUUUAAGAGAAUGCCACCACAAAUCAUUGGGAAGUAUAACAUUGUCAAAUUCAACACUGCUGGGCAUAUUUUUUUCAUUCCCUACUUAUGAACCAUGUGCCAUUAAAAAGAUUUGGGACUCAGUGGAAAUAACAUAGGAAUUAUUUUCUUACUUACUAAGAAAGGAAUUAAAGCCAAUAGCUUUAAUAUAAGACAACAGGAAGCUUUUCCCUGUGUCCUGGUGGCUUUUUUUAAACUCUUGGUCCUUACCGGGCUCACUUGUCCCGUUGGUAAUCCCAUCAGCCGUUAUUUCCACUGCCUAGACUUGCAAAGGAACACCGAGUGCUGCAAAUAAAAUGACGAAGGUGUAAAAGCUCCUGCUCAGAAGUUAAAUGAGAAUCAGAUGUCAACACAGUUCAGGCUCAGCCUUUGGCAGGAUCAUUGCUUUUAAUGCAAUUUACUAAUUAAAAAUGAGCACCAGAUUACGGAAAGACUGGAAUGAAGCGGCUUGCUAAACUAGUCUGUUAGCUCCUUGAACUGCCCGCACCAGGUCUGGUUUUCAUUACUUCUAAUUCAUUUGAAUAUUGCCUGGCAAUUAUUAAAUAACUUUCUGAAAAGAACAAACGCUGUUUGUGUUUUCUUCAUCAGCCCUCCGCGUCUAGACCGGAGCUGUUUUCCCUACAGAUGGCAAUCUGUAGCCGGGCUCUGGCAGGUGUAUUUUAUUCGGCAGAUGCACCCUAAUCGCAUUAUAGCGGAUUAGCUGGAUUUCUUCCUUUAAAUGUACACUGCGUGCUCCAGCUCGCGAGCCAGCCGUUCCUUAUCGCCCCCUUCUAAUCUGCCAGAGCCUUUUGCCUCUUCCUUUCAGCAGCUAUUUCUGUAACGGGUCGGACGGGGAAGAGCGCCGCAAUGAACCGUAAGCGGGGAAUCCUGCCCGCCUCCUCCUGCUGGGUGAGAUCCUCCGGGAAAGACCCAGAACGCAGCGCGGAGGCGGAGGAGGAGGAGGAGGAAGAAGAGGAGGAAGAAGAGGAGGAGGAGGAAGAAGAGGAGGAGGAGAGCGAGGGCAGCCGCAGAGCGGUGGCAGCAGCCGGGGCCGCGCUCCGAGGAGGCGAUGGGGGCAGGAGGAUGACGAGCGGGGGCGCAUCCCGCACCCACCGGCGGGCCCCGGGGCCGGCCGCAGCGGGGAGGCCGCCGGGCUGAGGCGGCGAGCAGGGCGCUAGCCCCCGUCGCCAUCCGCCCCGAUGGAUAAAGCCGGCUCCCUGCACAGCGCCGUGCCCGCCCCGCCGCCCCGGCUCUACCUGCCGCGCAACUUCAGCUGCAGCGCCUGCCUCUAUGGCAGCCUGGCCGAGCAGUGCAAGGGCGGCUGCAGCCCCGACGGCGAUCCUCCCCCUCCUCCACCGCCGCCGCCGCCGCCCGUGGUGCGGGAAGCGGCGGCCGAGAAGCCCCCGGCGGCGCCCCGGGGCCGGGAGCCGUCGGUGCCCGCCGUGCCGCCCAGCCCCACGCAGCGCCGCCGGGCCAAGUCGCUGCCCACGCCCGGCGACCGCAGCCUGCGGCCGGCGCUGCAGCAGAGCCCGGCGCGCCGCAAGACGGUUCGCUUCGCCGACUCGCUCGGCCUGGAGCUCACCUCCGUGCGCCACUUCUGCCAGGCCGACCUGCCGCGGGUACCGCCGCCUCCGCGCCCCGCCGACCUCCUCAAGACCAGGAAGCCUCCGGCGCUGGGCGAGCUGGAGCCGGUGCUCUUCGGGCCGCCGCCGCCGCUCCUGGAGCCGCUCUUCCCUCCGCAGCCCGGCGCCAGCCCCGGCUUCGCGGAGCGGGUUCGGCAGCACAAGGUGAGGCUGGAGUGGGUGCGGGCAGAGCCGGCGGGGCUGCGCGGCGCCGUGCGCGUCCUCAAUCUGGCCUACGAGAAGGCCGUGUCGGUGCGCUACACGCUCAACCGCUGGGCCAGCUGCGCCGAGGUGCCCGCCGCCUACCAGCCCUCCGGCCCCCCCGACGGCAGCACCGACCGCUUCGCCUUCCACCUGCCCCUCGGCGCCGCCGUCACCGCCGACGCCACGCUGGAGUUCGCCGUCCGCUACCGCGUGGCCGGCGCCGAGUACUGGGACAACAACGGCGGCGCCAACUACCGCCUGCGGGGCCGGCCGCUGUCCCCGGCCGCCGUCUGCCCGCCGCAGGACCCCGACAGCACCGCCUGGAUCCACUUCAUCUGAGGGGGACCCGGCACCCUCCGGGCUCGCCUCACAGGGCGGCCGCGGCACCCUGUUUCACCUCACAGGACGGCCCCAGCGCCCUCCGGCUGCAGCUCGCCUCACGGGACAGCCAUGGCACCCUCCGGCUUCGCCUCACCUCACCUCACCUCACCCUUCCCGCCGUCCCAACCGCAGCCCACCCAGCCCACCUUUCCAGAAGCUUCUUCGUAAGCAGCCAGAAGAUAUUUUUUUGAAUUCCGUUUACAGAUAAAUUAUUUAUCUUUUCUAUCUUAUUAACGCCGCGUAUGGAUAAGCGUUCAGGCUCCAGUCAGGACGAAGGCUGGGCGCGAGGUGUUAAGUCCCACGGCAGCAGUGUGCGCGGUGUUUUCCGCCUCGAGCUCGUGACCAAAGCUGCUGCACAGUGAGGGUCUGGAAUGAGGGGAGGGAGGCUGUCAAUAUUUGCAGGACUUAUCAGUGAAAAUCAGGAUCCACUGGUGCAAACAGAUCUUCCUGGGUGCUGUGCCCACAGCACUGGGUUCUGGAAACACAGGCAGCACUGCCCUGGGCACCCAUCCUCUUUCCUCAGCCCACCUCACCAAGCCUGGCUCCGUUGAGGUGCUGGGUCCCUUCCCAGAGCCCCACAGACCCCAACGUCCACGCGGACGCGGUCACUCGUGUUAAUUGCAGGGGACAGAUGGUGGUGUUGAACCCCAAAAGAGAUACCCCCAGGUAUGGCUGUAUUUCUCAUGCUGUAAAAAUGGCCGAUGGGUUUGUAGCAAAGAUUAAAUUUUAAAAUUUUGAAACCUGUUUCAUAUAUUCAAGCAUAUUUAGAAAAAUGCUAAGAAAAGUAGUGUCACGUAGUAAUGGAAAUACAGCCUACUAACAGGUUUUAUAAAGCAAGCACUUUGUUUUAAAAUCCAUGUGAUACAUUGUAAAGAUCUGUCAUGCUUGUUUCAGUAGGAUUGUUCCCAUAAAGCUGCUCAUGAUCAGGUUGGCAGGAUAGUCCUGAAGUUGCACCAAAGAAUUAGAGGUGGCAGGAAUUGAAUCCAUAAUUUUGGUUUGCAUCCCAAGCAACAUUUCCAGUUUUAUUUCUGUUAACAGUCUAAUUGAAGUUGUUAUGCUAAGGUAUAAGGGCAGGAGCUUGCCUUUUGCAAAACAAAACGUUCCAGAUUUUUAGGAUAAUUCCGGAAAGUGGCGGAUUUCACAAGGCUAGCUAUAUGUAGUCAGUCAGAUUGAGGAAAAGUAGUAUCUUUGCAUAGAAGUAGAGAUGUACCAAUAAAAAACAUUGAAAUUGCAGAGUACGUUGACUUCUGCCCUCAAGAGAGAGGUCCUCUAGCAGAGAACAGCAUUUUCCUUUUUAAACUUGCUUUUUCAGGAGUUUGGCUGAAUACAGGUUGUGCUGGUGAUAAAUCUGGGUGCUGGCUUUCCAGGAUUUAGGCACGUUUGCGUUUGCAGGUGAGGGACUUCUACAAAGAUGACUUCUGAGAGUGGCAGAACAAAUGCUGGUGUCAUCUUCCUAUUAUGAAGGGCUGUAGGAUCAGGCAUUCAACAUUUUGGACCUUUUGUAGAUUGUUUAGGAGUGAAGUGUAAUUCUAACUGUAUUCUUUGUGCUCCUUGUGAGGGUUAAGUAUCCCAAACAGCUUGAUUAAUGCCAGGUUCUCAUGGAACCUUUCAACUUCAGUGGGAAUUGAGGGCACUUUUGUCUCCUGAGGGUCUGGUUGAGUCAGAAUAAUUAAACCUGUGAAUUCUGGAAAAAAUGGUCUGGCAAGUUGAUGGGAAAAGAGCAUUUAAUUUAAUUUCUCUAUACUGCUUUUUCUGGUUUAAUAGAAAUCAUACCAACUGUAGCCUUCCUGUAGUAUUGGUAGCUUGGUUUUAGUUCCCCAACAAGUUUUCUGAUCAGUGUGAUCUUCACAGAAAUAGAAUAUAAAAGAAAUAUACUGUCAGCACCUACUGAGUAUUUCACAUUUUAGAAUAUUAAGGCCCUGAUCUUGUAUUGAAGUAACCCUAUGUAUCACUAGCACACAUCUAUAAAGAUAGAAUUGCAGAACUUGGGUCUUAAACUGUUCGUGAUUAAUGCAUAUUAAGUAGUAUGUUUGAUAAAGAAAGCCCAAGUGUCUUCUAGUUAAACCUAGUUUGUUAUGAGAGCCUUAAUACUGGAGAGAAGGAAGCGAAAUUGUCUCUAUUUGAAAGCACUUUGAAAUACGGUGGAAAUGCAGCCAAACACCUUAUUUAUGUGUUAGAGCUUUCCAAAACAUUUUUUUGCUUGGCCUUUCUCACCCAUAUACUAAAGCAGCAACAGUUUUUCUGAAGCAUCUUAAUGAUGUCAUAUGAGGGAAAAAAAGUAGUUUCUGUGCGCUUUAGGUUAACCAAUGCUAUAAUUUGUUUAUGAACGUUUAACCCCUUUGUCCAAUAUACAUCUGAAUAUUAAACCUUUUGAGGAUGUAAUACACCAGAAGAAUGUUUUGGAAAGCUGACUCCUGAGCUUUUAAGCAAUUAAGCUGAUGUUUAGUUCAACACUCAGUUUCGUGGGUAACUAUGGGCUUGAGCUUGAUCACAGAUUAUCAGUGAUACACGUUCAACUCCAGUAGAAGACCUGGUCUUCUGGAAGCCCUUAAAAACACCUCCAUUUAAAGCCUUGAAAGGUGAGGUUGGCCCAGCCAGCUUUGAGUGGAGGAUGCUACUGAUGACAUCUUUGGAAGAAGUGUGAGGUGUUCUAACAGAAACCUAUCAGUGAUAUAUGCUGAAGCUGCACUGCUUUGAUUACACAGUUUCACUUCUAUCACAUUAAUUUCUUCUCAAGAUUUCCAAAAACAUGUCUAGGUGCACUGACUGCGAGUACUUUUUCCACUGGCAGCAUCCAUGUAUGGUUUCCAGUCCUUUAGUUUUCAGCCUGACGCUAUUUAGGCGGGGUUUGCUAGAAGCAUUGUAUAAAUGGAAGUGAAAUAAAAUAAAAAUCCCAAAUAGAACUUACAAUCUACAUAAAUGAUAGCUUUGAGGAGAAAAGCCUGUGCUGAACAGGGUACUUCUCAAGUUGGCAGGGCAUCAGUAAUUUUAAUGGAAGAAGGAGCAAGACAACUUUUUUUUUUUAAAAACACAUUUCUAAAGAACAUAGUUCCACAAAGUUAACUUUAGAAGGCAAAGUAAAAUAUUUGAAUUAUGUUUCAGGAUACAAAUUCUUCAAGCCAAUCUUUUUUUCUGGAAAAAAUGACAGCUCAGUUGUUUUUAUUUGCAUGGAUAAAGCCCAUGCCACCUUCCUUUCCAAGUGAUGCUAGAAGGUAUAGGCAAGGCAAUAAUCCUUAGGUAGCGUACUUCACUUUUAAGUGAAUUAUUCAUAAUCACAUUCAUUAUGUCUUUGGAGGUGUAAAAACCUGUCUGUCAUUUAUUGUGCAAAGUUGUAGCUUUAUGAAACGUGCCAUCUUAUUUUAUGUGCAAUAGUGAUACUUCCUACAGUAAGUCAAAUCGUACUGUGUGUCUGAUGCACAUUCACGUUUGCUGGUGCACAUUUAAACUGAUAGAGUUUUUGCAUGUGGUUCCAUGCCUCUUAUGGCAAUAUUUGUGAAAUCUACCCUAAUCAAUAGAAGCCCUAGCAGGGAUCAAAACAAUUAAGUGACUGUAAACUGAAUUUCAGCUAGCUAACCACGUUACUAUUCAUUAGUGUAAAAAAUAAUUGAAAUGUUAUACUCAUUUUCAAUAAAUUUACAUUACUUCAGGCUAAUUAUUUUCUCCUUUUACCAUUUGCAAAUAACUUUUUGUUGUGAAUGUGUGUGCCUCAGUAUCGUAUUAAAUAGCAGAGCAAGUGCACACGUUUUGUUAUUGCAGGGUAUGUGAGGGGAAGAUGCAUCACUUGAACAAACAGCUGUCUGUUCAUGCAUAUGCGUGAUCUCUACAGAUACGUGAAAUGUUUUUCAGUAGCGCCAACAGGCAAACAUCUGCUAAUUCUGUAUUUUAAACAUAAAGUAACCGACAGAAAUACUCAGAAUCUGCUUUUUAACAUAUUAUUAACUAUACAUUGAAAUCUUUAUGUGCCUUUCAACAUUUCCUAGGAAGAAAUCUCAUUUGUUCCUUCACGCUCCCACCAAAAGUCCAGCUAUGGCGUUCUCAUUAAAAUGAAAUUUAUACUAAAAAUCUAAUAAUCAAUUCUAAUUCCUGACACUCUUUCAGCUGUGCCAGAAGUCCUGCACCUGUAACAGCCAGAAGUAUUUGAUCAUAUUUUCCCAUACUACAGUGAAAGAAGUUACUGUCAGAACCGCGUCUUCCUGGUACACCUCUGGAAUUAUUUAGCUAGACCCCUGCAAUGAAGAAGGGAGGGGGUAAUGGCUGAAGAACAGAAGUACUCAUGCAGACUCAUCCUCCUAUCUCGUGGAUUGACUUUCAUGGUUAGAGAAAGGUCAUGAUUCAUUGGGAAAGGCAGCAAUUUGCAGUUUCAAAAAGGCAAAAUUUUAGGUAAGCAAUCUUUUUAGGACUGCUUUUGAUAAAAAUCUUCAAAACUAAAUAUGGAUUGAAUAAAAGUUUUUAUUAUUCAGUUAGACAAUCUGAGAGAUAAAGGGGUUGGUGUCUGUGAAACAGAAAUGAAGCAUUGGUAAGGGAAAAGUUGUUAAUAUUAUUAACCUCUAUGUUACACAGAGACAAGAUUAUUGAUUGUGGGAGAAGUAUGGAAAUUAUGAUUUCCCCUAAAAGUAAUCUCUCUACUGAGUCUAUAAUGUUUAGUUUCCAGUAAUUAUUAGUGUUAAGUCCUCAAGCUCAGGAUCAAGAUUUAAGAGGCCACAGAUAAAGUGGUUAUUUUGUAAAAAAAAUCAUCUUCUUUAUUCAUUUUCUAUAGGAACGCACUGGUAAGCAUGUUUAUUUUUUCCCCAGUUUAUACAGCAUUUAGAAUUGUGUCAUAGUUCACAACUAAAACACAUUCACUCUUUCAUUUUAUUUUGAUGAAAGGCAUUCAUUACAGGUUGACGUUGGCAAACUUGCACUUAUGGCGUUGCAGUCUGGCUCCAACCCAGGCACGCUGGUCUGGCUGAAAGUUCCUCCUGAUGAUGAAUGUAGUGAGGUUGUAGGAUUAUUUGAAAACUGGGAGCACUGCUUGGGGAGUAUGCAUCAAACAAGAGACAACACAUCACUUUGGCACUAUAAUUCAGGUAGUUGAAUGGAUUAUAGAAAGAUACAAAAUUAUUUGCUUCAGUAGAUAUCCCUUAGCCUAAAUAGCUGCAGAAUACCUAAACACUGAGUAUUAAACCACACAGGAAAAGUGCCUAGGUAUCAUUGCUCAUCUUUUUAGAAGAGCUGGGAGAAGAAAUGUUACCAAAUUGGAAGUUCCAUGCAUUCGUACCUGUUUGCCUGUACUCCAAUUUGAAAUAAGCUUUCCCUCCAGAAACCAUACAGGGAGGUUGCAGCCCUAACCUGACAUCAGGGAGUCUAACACAGGCAAGGGUCAAGCUCUUAGCCCUAUGGCCCUGACUGUGCGACUGCCAUGAAUACUGCAUGAUACUGUGAAUAAUUGAUAAGUUUUUAAAUCUUUUUACAUCUUAAAAGAAAGCCCUACAACUUUAUGCACUAGGAAUUUUGACAAAGAGGUUUUUGUAUAACUUACUGUGUGUUUCAGUUGUUUAGAAGGGCCGUGCUUUUGAAAGUAACUUCCAAAGGAAUAGGAAUUCUACCUUUGUCACCUUAUAUGGAUUAAACAUCUACCUGCUUCCUGUUAGAUUGACUGAAAGGUACUUGGUUUUCUCUCCCAUUUUGUGCUUAGCUUCUAAUAACCAUUUUAAAAUUGUAGGAAAAAGUUAUAGUCCAAACCUCUGCUGUACUAUUUUCCUAAAAUACAGGUCCGUACAACUCAAACGUACCUUUAGAUGUCACAUCACUUUGAGUGCACAUUUGUGGAUUCAUUGAAUGAAUCAUUGAAUGAAAGUCUAAUGGAAUCAGCUGAUUUAAUUUACUGGUUUGCAAAAGGAAAGUUUGAGUCUCAUUCCUUUUAUGUCCUCAUUACAGCAGCAUGCCUACUUGAUCCCCACGACGCACAUUACUAUAGCGUAUGUCAAACUAUUACUAUCACACCAUUUUCAAAAAGUAUUUAUUCUUGUGAAAUCACCACAAUUGCUAGGCACAAGAUGUAGAACUCCUUAAUUGCUCGUGACAUAUGUAGUGCUUACUUAGUCCAGACAAAAAAAAAAGCUAAACAAUCCAGUCAAGAACCUUGAUAAAUGAUCAGUGCAUGAGUUCUGCAUUGUAAGAAAGCACAGUAAAACAGAAAACAAGGACUAUACCUUUGGAAAGGCAGAACUAGUUGAUUACAGAAUUUAUUAAUCCUUUAUGUUUUCCUUCUUUAUUUCACUACUCAAAGAAGUAAACAAAAAUCAUGCAAAGAGGUAGUUGAUAUAGCUUUUCUUUUGGUAUCAUCUCUGCAGCUAUAAUUAGUACAAAAUACUAGGAGGUUAGAGAGGCACUGUUGUUUUUUUUACAUCCUGAAGUUACAUAAAUCAGACAAUCUAGAAU